rnacentral:rRNA from 1 species
GACGAACGCUGGCGGCGUGCUUAGCACAUGCAAGUCGAACGAAGUGGCGAACGGGUGAGUAACGCGUAAUCAACCUGCCCUUCAGAGGGGGACAACAGUUGGAAACGACUGCUAAUACCGCAUACUGAAGGAGGGGAUUGCGUCUGAUUAGCUAGUUGGAGGGGUACCGGCCCACCAAGGCGAUGAUCAGUAUCCGGUCUGAGAGGAUGAUCGGCCACAUGGGGACUGAGACACGGCCCAGACUCCUACGGGAGGCAGCAGUGGGGAAGCGGCCGCAAUGGACGAAAGUAUGACGGAGCAACGCCGCGGGAGUGAUGACGCCCUGCGGGUGGUAAAGCUCUGUUAAUCGGGACGCGGUACCGGAAUAGAAAGCCACGGCUAACUACGUGCCAGCAGCCGCGGUAAUAC